rnacentral:misc_RNA from 1 species
UUUCCGUAGGUGAACCUGCGGAAGGAUCAUUAAAGAGUAAGGGUCUUCGGGCCCAAUCUCCAACCCUUUGUUUAACUACCAUGUUGCUUUGGCGGGCCCGUCUCACGACCGCCGGAAGUUUGGCUUCGACCAAACUUCUGGCCCGUGCCCGUCAGUGGCCCCUUCAAAUUCUUGAUCAAGUAUGAUGUCUUAGUUAAAAACUUAAUAGUUAAAACUUUCAACAACGGAUCUCUUGGUUCUG